rnacentral:tRNA from 1 species
GCUCAGAGGUAGAGCGCUUGCCUGGCAUGCAUGAGGCACUGAGUUCAAUCCUCAG